UUUUUUUUGCGGUUUGCUUAGCGUGCCUCGCUUGCUCGCUCCGGAGUCCCACGGGAGCUCGGUCUUGGUGAGCGUCGUCUAGGGAAGCGGCGACGGGAGCGUCUAGUAGGGGGGGCGGCUAGGUAGGGAAGCGGCGGCGGCUAGGGACGCGCACGCUCCUGCUAGGUGAUGUCCUCUGCGGCGGCUAGGGCACCUCCUGGGCAGCGGCUAGGGGAAGUCCUCGGCUGCGGCUAGGGGAUUCGGCCGCGACUAGGGGCAACUCCUCGGUGGCUGUUCUAGUGACUCCAAAUAACCCCUCACGAGUAUGCGCACUACCUCUCUUCUGUUGUGCGAAACGAGGAGGAGGUUCGGACGUUCAGACGAAGAAAAGUGGUGUUCCAUCUUAAUCACGAAAGUGUUGUGAGUCGCCCUCGAUUUCGACAUCAAAAAGUACGCGUACACGAUUAGCGGAACUCCUCUUUUAACAACGAACACAAUCGUAGUCCGUUCUGACCUCCACCUAACUACGUUGUUGAUUAGUGGUUUCUCUUGCGUUUCUCCAUGGACUUUCCGACUUGGACUAGAAACUACUUGAUCUUCCGGUUCUCUGGUUCCAUACGGGCAAGUAUCGAACUAAGGAAUGGUAUAUUAACGACUUUGUACGUCGUCUGUGUACUAAUUGGAAACAUGAAAUAUGAAGCGACCUUGUAAAUCCUGAGGUCACCCGCUGAGGACUUUACUCAUGAGGACUUUGAAAUUGGUCACCGGUACAACUACCAUAAAAAACCCUUGUCCCCUCCCGCACACAAUAACAAGUUUGGUCCGCGGACUAAAAAAAGUUAGAAAUCGGUCACUGGUGUAACGACGGGGUUCGCUACUUGUCCCCUCCCGCACACAAUAACGUCAAUUGAUACACAGUAGACCAGAAGUAUCACUAACCAUCGAAGUUUGGUAUUCGGUGGAGACUUAAGUAUAGCUUCAGUACGCUCGACCCGAAAACAACGAACCUAGAGGUCCCCGGACUAGUUAACUUGUUCAUAUAACCCCUCUCACUUAGUCUUCAUUCCUUUUAUACUUGAGCACGUUCGUGAUUGAGUAGUAUGUAGGAAAAAAAGACUCCAUUUUGAUUCAUCAACACCGUCGAAACCUACUCUCUUGGGUUAAGGACCAUUUAACCUGUAGUAGUUACUCAAGCAGCUCAAACUAACUUGAGAGUGUGAAACUUGUAGGAGAUAAAUUUCGUUCCGGUAGGGACAGUAUUGUCCAUGUCAUUUUACGGUUGUGUAUAUACUAACUACAAUACUAUCAUAUGAACUGAAACCCUACUACUCUAGCUGCCUUCGUUGUCCUCGGGUGCUGAGUACCCCUCCCGCACAUUGUUACGAAAGGAUGUAAACCACCUAAUAACGUAAACAUAAAAAAUAACAAUAGUAGAUCUUCUAAUAUAAGACAUACUUACGAAAAUUGUUACGAAGCAGUACGGCAGGGGCGGCUACGACGACAAGUACGGCAGGGGGGUCACGGAUCGUAGUGGCCGUUGUUCAAGUCGCGACAGGCUGUUCCACGGGACGUCCCUGUUGGAGGCAGCUGGACAGUAGCUUGAAGUCAUACGCACGAAACAAGAGACUUUGACUUAAGUCUGGAACUCAUGAUGAAAAUAAACUUUCUUUUAUACACGCGCUAAGGUAUUGAAUACGGUUUUACGUAUCGUAUCGAACCAUAUGUGCUUAACGUUAGACUUGCAAAAAGAGACACAGCAGCAGGACGAAAGACCAAGAGACAAUAGACAGUAGAAUAUAGAGACUUAACAACAACCGACGUACGCGUCGACGAAAUCCGUCCUCGUCACUGAUCGUAACUGGUCCUCCUCGUUCUUCGUCGCUGUCGAUGGUAACGACCGACUCGAUCGACGAUCCAACGGAGAGAGAAAGGGAGUAUAUACACCCAAACGUUGUCGGUUUUUAUGCGAACGCUAAGAAACAAAAGUGAUUGUCAGGUAUAAACCUACGGAAGAAAGAUGGGUCGAAACCAAUGAACGCUGCCCAACACCCGACGUUCAAUCUUAUUAGCCAUGACUUUUGCCGAAGACUUACAAUUUUUCGGUUACCCCAUCUUUCGAUCUCUAUUGAUCCCCAACCCUGCGGUGGAACACCGCGGAGUACUCUCCUUCGACCCGCCACGGUCCAACCGUCGGCGGGUAAGAUCAAGAAAAAAAUGUUAAAACCAUUGUGGCGUUGUACUGUACAAUCACUCUUCAACGUGAUAUUUAAAACCUCCAAAUACUACUGCCUCCUCUAUAGUAGAAACGAGGAGGAUAAGUGUCCAACUUCGAGAUGAUCGUUGCCUACAAAUGCUGCUACGUCCUCUACGGCAGAAACGAAGAUGACAAGUAGCCGACUAGGCACUCUACGAAGCGUCAACGGACACACAGGGACUACAGUAACUAGAAACAGUCUAUUAUACAGAUAGAUAAACAUUUCUAACUAUCAGGUGGAAUGAUAGAUCUAUAAAAGUCAGGAAAAGUUUCCUUGGUUUGGUAAACAUCAACUGUCAAAUAUGUUUAUGUAUGGGUACUAAUAAUUCUACUGUACAUGUGUAAUAAAACAGAUAGGUUGUUCGUUUAAAGGUGCUGUUCGUUUGUUAAGUUCGUGGUUUAUCACGUACUUGGUGUAGUCCUCCUCUCCUCUCCCUGGUUUGUCGCUCCAGUGAACGGAAAAUAGACGGCCGUUGGUAUAGUCAGUAACAGCGGCAGCGGAGGACGACGGAGCUGGUGGUAACACCUAGUCGUCGCAGAACGUGACGUGAUAGUAUAAGUACAUAAAUGAGAUUAUUUCUCUUAAAAGUAGUAUGUUCCUACACGAAGACGUUGAUUGUACGUAGAUGUCUUCUGGGAUAUAUCAUAUACACUAGUUUAAAUAAGGAGAGGUUACAGGUAUUAACGGUAGAGGAGGGAUACAAGGAUUGUGAGAAUCAAAGACUAUACUUGUACGAUGAUAUGACUGCAAACCACAUUCACCAUGACAAAAUCUUACUAUUUUAUCUGACGAGAACCAACAACAGAGUGUGUGACCUUAGAUAAUGUCAUAUUGGUUGUACUCGUUCGGUAGUAACUAAAUGAUGAAAACAUGAAGACUAGGGGGUAAGAAAUUGUUUGAACAUUAAGAAGAAAGAAUAUAACUAGGUCUAAUAAAGUACCACGGUGAAUUAAGUAUCAUGUCUAAAAGAAAUGUACCCUAUUCUUAUCUCUGAUUGGGACUAUGUUUAACUACCAAUUGAACUGAAUUCGAUCUAGGAUAAAAGACUUGGUUUCUAUUCCAUUUGUCAUCUUCAGUGAGUAUUUAAUAAACUGAUUCUAGACAAUUACCAUAGGGGAUCAGGUUCCAACAUGGUAGGAUUUUCUAAACUAAUAACGUCGGUUUGAGAUUUAUGUUAAUCACGGACGUAGAUCGUGGAGGCCAAGGGAACGAGGGUAUGUACAGUACCUAUCGAGAGGUAACAUGA
rnacentral:rRNA from 1 species